AUUGUUUUAAACAUUGUCUAAAAGAACACUUUUUUCGUAUCUAGAUUGCUGUGAAGGAUAUUACUUAUACGAAAUCUACAUAUUUGGGUUCAUCUUUGACGUGUCGUAAAAAGUGUCUAGGGUUUUAAUUUUAAACGAAUUAACACAAAAGUUAUGACCAGAAAACCAGUUUUUAGGGUUCCGUAGCCAAAUGGCAAAAAACGGAACCCUUAUAGAUUCGUCAUGUCUGUCUGUCUGUCUGUCUGUCCGUCCGUCCGUAUGUCACAGCCACUUUUUUCCGAAACUAUAAGACCUAUACUGUUCAAACUUGGUAAGUAGAUGUAUUCUGUGAACCGCAUUAAGAUUUUCACACAAAUAAAGAAAAAAAAAAAAUUUUUUUUGGGGUUCCCCAUACUUAGAACUGAAACUCAAUUUUUUUUUUCAACAAACCCAUACGUGUGGGGUAUCCAUGGAUAGGUCUUCAAAAAUGAUAUUGAGGUUUCUAAUAUCAUUUUUUUUCUAAACUGAAUAGUUUGCGCGAGAGACACUUCCAAAGUGGUAAAAUGUGUGUCCCCCCCCCCGUAACUUCUAAAAUAAGAGAAUGAUAAAGCUAAAAAAAAUAUAAGAUGUACAUUAUCAUGCAAACUUCCACCGAAAAUUGGUUUGAACGAGAUCUAGUAAGCAGUUUUUUUUUAAUACGUCAUAAA